UACGGGGGAUGCAAGCGUUAUCCGGAUUUAUUGGGUGUAACGGGUGCGUAGGCGGACUGUCAAGUCAGCGGUAAAAUACGGGGGCUCAACCUCCGCCCGCCGUUGAAACUGACGGUCUUGAGUGGGCGAGAAGUAUGCGGAAUGCGUGGUGUAGCGGUGAAAUGCAUAGAUAUCGCGCAGAACUCCGAUUGCGGAGGCAGCAUGCCGGCUCCACACUGACGCUGAGGCACGAAAGCGUGGGUAUCGAACAGG
rnacentral:rRNA from 1 species